UGCUGAGGUGGUCCGCAGUGCCCCGCGCGGCCCUGUCGCAGGAGGGUCCCGCCGGCCCCGCACGGAUGCGGACGGCACGCCGACCGGGCGCGACGCCGCCUCGCCGCGGAGAUGGGCGUGACGCGGGCGCUGCCAGGGGCCAGCCCGUCCCGCAGGGGCCAGGCCGCCGCCGCGCCCGAGACGAGCAACGGGAGGCCCGCGCCGAGCGCCGCUACCGCCCGCCAACGGCUCCUCCCGCCCCCGCCAACGGCUCCUCCCGCCCAGCUGGACUUUCCCCCUGGCGGACCUGGCUCCUGCAGGCGGUGAUUUCCUCGCAUGGAGAAGCUGAGCAUUGCCAUGUCCACUGCUGGGUUCCAUAAUGUUUUUAGGCUAGACCUCCUUUCUCACACAUGUGUGCAUGCCCCAUUCCUAAAACAGCUCAUCCCAUCCCAGUCAUAGAGUCGCUUAAAACAACAUGAUUUCUGAAAAUAAGUGCUUCAGGUGAUUUUAAGACUUUCUAGGAGGUAUCAAAUGCAUAUGUCAAAUGUAAUUCCACCAGGCCAGCUGAAUUAUGUUAUUCUUGGAGUAUAUAUUGGGAAGUCUUUGAACUUCAGUUACAGUAAUAUAGUCCAGAAAUACCUCCCUGACGGGACUUUAUGGAUUUGCAGUUCAGGGUUUGUGCUUCCAACCUUCUGCUGUCCACGUGACCAUACUUGUCAAUCCAUCAGAGAGAUUACUACUUUUUUUGGCUGAGCUGAUUUCGAGUGGAUUAACAAAUUGAAACGGCCUAUUUUUAUGAGAACAGUGAAGACACUUCUACAUGCUUGACUUCUGGAGUACUAAGGAUUGCUGUUUUAGUCUUUGGCCAGUGGUACAGAAUGUGGGUAAAUAUGGGAGAAGUCAUAGGUAUGUCUCAAAAAAUUGCUUUUCUGUUUAAAAAAAAUUCUGAAGGUGGCCAUAAUUUUAACCAAAUUUAUCACUAGCAAGCAUUUCGAUUUUUUUUAAUAGUAACAACAUGGUAUUUUAAAAAGUUUAUCAAUUAUAAUUAUUCAAACAUAACAGCAUUAUUUGUAUUGCCCACUUGGGAUUUCCAUAUGCUAUUCAGAAACAGCAUUCUGCUAUCUCCAAUAUUCACCAAUAUCAAUCUGAACUUCCUCUUCUUUCUGGAGCUCUGAAUUAGUACCAAAAUGCUAUAAACCUGCCUACUUAGCAAAAUUACUUUGCAAAUGUUCAAAAUAAACAUACCUAAACAAUUCAAUCACAAAUCAAAACAAAGUAAAGCCAAUGUCAUUAGUGUACAUAAUAAAAUGAGGCAAGACAAGUAAGAAAAGCAGCUGAAACAAAGAUAAUCUUCCCUCAACCCUUGUACAACCAUGAAAAAAAGUGAAACUGUGGUUAAGGAACUGGUUCAUUCAUCUGUUAUAGUGCACAUAUAAUUUCCCAAUACCACUAAAAUAAUGUUACAAGCAUUCAACAGGUGUGAUUGGUUGAAAGUUUUGUAAUUUGAGAGCUGUUGAUUUCAUAAGGAAUUCUACUACAGUAAAGUCUACAGGAUGUGGUCUUACAGGUGUAGUAUAGUGUUGGAGCCAGCUGCAGAAAACUAGUGUAGAAUUAGUCAACUGUUUUCUUUCUAGACUAAUUAGGGGUGUCAUACAAGUUACAGAUAAUUAAUUUAAAAGUACAAGAACAAUGGAAAAUUGCAGCACAGGAAUAUACUCUAUUUAAGUUAAAUUACAGAGCACUUCAGUGAAGUCCAUGGAAUUACAAGAUAAAAGAUUAAAGCAUUGGACCCAACUUGUAUAUCCUAAAAUUCUCUUAUCUUAGCUGUGGCUACCAUGACAAUAUCUUCAUGAAUAUCUGCUUUUUUCAGAUCAUAGUUGAGAAUGUGAUUGUCCUCUCCAUAAUUAAAAAGGCCGAGCAGCUUCAUCAGAGCAAAAAUUCAACUUACUCCAUGCAUAAGGUGCCAGAUGGUGCUCCAUCAAGCAAAUGAAUGAUAUUCUACUGCUAACUUAGGUGUCUUUGCCUACAGCAUGAAUGUGAAAAAGUAUUCUUAAGCUUGUGGGACUAUGCAGUCUUUCUAUGCCUCUUGUAUUCUCUUCUCUCACUUUAUUUAGGCUCAUGUUGUAGAAAAACAUCUUAAGGAUAGCAUUUAGGCUGAAGCUUAAAGCCUUAUUAAUGCAAACUCAUAUGCUCCCUUCAGUUAGACAAGACAUUGUAUGUACAUUUUGUAGGAGUGCCUCAGGUCAGGAAAUCUCUUUGUAUAGAAUUUAAACUCCAGGGACUCCUACUAUUACACACAUUCUCUAAAUAUAAUAUGAAUACUUAAUUUGGUUCUUUUGGUUAAAACAUAGAUAAGGAAACAGAUGCUAGUGUCACUUUGCUUUGCCACAGCUUUGAGAUUGUAAGUGCAACUGUGAUGAGACGACCACAUCUGGUCAGUUUAUAAAGACUGACUUCUGAACAGUAAAGGACAACCUCCCCUAAAAUCAGUGAGUCCAUGGGAGAUGCUUCUUGAGAAGCAAGAAGUAAACCAAAACUAGUUCUUACAACUUCCGCAUGAGCAUUGACAUCCUGGUGACAUUUUCUGUAUAAUCUACAGUCUUUAUCUGUUUACCUCUUCUUUCUUCAUAGAUAAACCAGUUUUGUCAGUUCCUGUGUAUGUCUUCAUUAAGCUUGAAUAGAGAGAAAAGCCCAUAAUAGAAAACUUACAGCUGUGCACCUGGCAUAUGGAAACAAGUGCAGAAGCCACAAUAUGCAGUUCACUCUAGUGGAGUAGGUUACAGACUGUUUUAUUAGACUAUUCCACUAAAAACAGUUUGCUUCUAUAUUCCUAUCUGGUGAAUUUCAUAGAAAAAUAAGUCUCAUAAAUAGUAAUAUAGUCUGAAAUUAUGAUUUUUUUUAAGACAGUGUUUUUAUCUUCUCUUUCUAUAGUCAAAAAGGCAAUUAACUUGAUGUAAAGGAGAAACUUGAUUAUAAUCGAGCCUAUAAUUCUAAUUAUCUGUCGCAGUGAAAUUGAUGCUUGUAUUGUAGCUUGUUAGAUAUUACUGAUUAACUUCUUAUUUAAAAUUCAAUUGGAUUAAAAAGACAAAAUAAAGUAGU